GCUGGGCAUGGUGGCGGGUGCCUGUAAUCCCAGCUACUUGGGAGGCUGAGGCAGGAGAAUCACUUGAACCUGGGAGACGGAGGUUGCAGUGAGCCAAGAUCGUGCCACUGCACUCCAGCCUGGGUGACAGAGUGAGACCCUGUCUCAA
rnacentral:SRP_RNA from 1 species